UACGUAGGGGGCUAGCGUUGUCCGGAUUUAUUGGGCGUAAAGAGCGUGUAGGCGGCCAGGUAGGUCUGCUGUGAAAACUCGAGGCUCAACCUCGAGACGUCGGCGGAAACCGUCUGGCUAGAGUCCGGAAGAGGAGAGUGGAAUUCCUGGUGUAGCGGUGAAAUGCGCAGAUAUCAGGAAGAACACCCGUGGCGAAGGCGGCUCUCUGGGACGGUACUGACGCUGAGACGCGAAAGCGUGGGGAGCGAACAGG
rnacentral:rRNA from 1 species